rnacentral:rRNA from 1 species
UACGGAGGGUGCAAGCGUUGUUCGGAAUUAUUGGGCGUAAAGCGCGUGUAGGCGGUCUUUUAAGUCUGAUGUGAAAGCCCCGGGCUCAACCUGGGAAGUGCAUUGGAAACUGGGAGACUUGAGUACGGGAGAGGAGAGUGGAAUUCCUAGUGUAGGAGUGAAAUCCGUAGAUAUUAGGAGGAACACCGGUGGCGAAGGCGGCUCUCUGGACCGAUACUGACGCUGAGACGCGAAAGCGUGGGUAGCAAACUGGAUUAGAUACCCUGGUAGUCCACGCCGUAAACGAUGAGUACUAGGUGUUGCGGGUAUUGACCCCUGCAGUGCCGUAGCUAACGCAUUAAGUACUCCGCCUGGGAAGUACGGUCGCAAGACUAAA